rfam:Arabidopsis thaliana chromosome 5, complete sequence.
AAUCCAGGAGGGCAAUCUUGAGUAUAAUCAUUAAGCCGUCCCCAUGCUUCAUGGAAACUUUCAUUGAUUCCUUGCUUAAACCCUAUUAUGUCACUUUUCACUUU